UACGUAGGGCGCAAGCGUUGUCCGGAAUUAUUGGGCGUAAAGAGCUCGUAGGCGGUUUGUCACGUCGUCUGUGAAAUCCCUCGGCUUAACCGGGGGCGUGCAGGCGAUACGGGCAGACUUGAGUACUACAGGGGAGACUGGAAUUCCUGGUGUAGCGGUGAAAUGCGCAGAUAUCAGGAGGAACACCGGUGGCGAAGGCGGGUCUCUGGGUAGUAACUGACGCUGAGGAGCGAAAGCAUGGGUAGCGAACAGG
rnacentral:rRNA from 1 species